rnacentral:rRNA from 1 species
UCUUGGCCAGCCUUCUGAAAGGAAGAUUAAUCCAGGAUGGGAUCAUGAGUUCACAUGUCCGCAUGAUUAAAGGUAUUUUCCGGUAGACGAUGGGGAUGCGUUCCAUUAGAUAGUAGGCGGGGUAACGGCCCACCUAGUCAACGAUGGAUAGGGGUUCUGAGAGGAAGGUCCCCCACAUUGGAACUGAGACACGGUCCAAACUCCUACGGGAGGCAGCAGUGAGGAAUAUUGGUCAAUGGGCGAUGGCCUGAACCAGCCAAGUAGCGUGAAGGAUGACUGCCCUAUGGGUUGUAAACUUCUUUUAUAAAGGAAUAAAGUCGGGUAUGCAUACCCGUUUGCAUGUACUUUAUGAAUAAGGAUCGGCUAACUCCGUGCCAGCAGCCGCGGUAAUACGGAGGAUCCGAGCGUUAUCCGGAUUUAUUGGGUUUAAAGGGAGCGUAGAUGGAUGUUUAAGUCAGUUGUGAAAGUUUGCGGCUCAACCGUAAAAUUGCAGUUGAUACUGGAUGUCUUGAGUGCAGUUGAGGCAGGCGGAAUUCGUGGUGUAGCGGUGAAAUGCUUAGAUAUCACGAAGAACUCCGAUUGCGAAGGCAGCCUGCUAAGCUGCAACUGACAUUGAGGCUCGAAAGUGUGGGUAUCAAACAGGAUUAGAUACCCUGGUAGUCCACACGGUAAACGAUGAAUACUCGCUGUUUGCGAUAUACGGCAAGCGGCCAAGCGAAAGCGUUAAGUAUUCCACCUGGGGAGUACGCCGGCAACGGUGAAACUCAAAGGAAUUGACGGGGGCCCGCACAAGCGGAGGAACAUGUGGUUUAAUUCGAUGAUACGCGAGGAACCUUACCCGGGCUUAAAUUGCACUCGAAUGAUCCGGAAACGGUUCAGCUAGCAAUAGCGAGUGUGAAGGUGCUGCAUGGUUGUCGUCAGCUCGUGCCGUGAGGUGUCGGCUUAAGUGCCAUAACGAGCGCAA